rnacentral:rRNA from 1 species
AACGAACGCUGGCGGCAUGCCUAACACAUGCAAGUCGAACGAGACCUUCGGGUCUAGUGGCGCACGGGUGCGUAACGCGUGGGAACCUGCCCUUAGGUUCGGAAUAACUCCCCGAAAGGGGUGCUAAUACCGGAUAAUGUCUUCGGACCAAAGAUUUAUCGCCUUUGGAUGGGCCCGCGUUGGAUUAGCUAGUUGGUAGGGUAAAAGCCUACCAAGGCGACGAUCCAUAGCUGGUCUGAGAGGAUGAUCAGCCACACUGGGACUGAGACACAGCCCAGACUCCUACGGGAGGCAGCAGUGGGGAAUAUUGGACAAUGGGCGAAAGCCUGAUACAGCAAUGCCGCGUGAGUGAUGAAGGCCUUAGGGUUGUAAAGCUCUUUUAACCGGGAUGAUAAUGACAGUACCGGGAGAAUAAGCUCCGGCUAACUCCGUG